ensembl:lncRNA
GUCCCUUAAAUAAUCCUGGGUCCGUUUCACGAAGCAGGUUCAACAAACUCGGUGUAACCCUGAACUCUGAGUUGAUCUACUCUGAGAUACGAAACUCUGAGUUUUCGGUUUAACAACGGCUGAUUUGAGUUGGUUUAAUCAACUCGGAGUAGUUUAACCCAGAGUGCACCGCAACUAUAAAAAGACAGCAUCAAUGGAACCCCGAUUCGACGACUCAUCAUGGCAACAGGGAAGCGGAGAGCUACGUUUUUUACACCACUUGAACUGGACAUCUUAAUGCGUUCAUAUGGCGACUUCGAACACGUUUUUAGAAAGAAGUGCAGCACCUGCAGCUGCAAAAGAGAGGGAGAUGGCGUGGGAGAACAUUGCUGCCCGAGUCAAUGCGUAAGUUUAAAUCACAAUAAUAUUACAGGAAAACUGUUUAAUAGCAGCCUAUUCUGUUAUUUCAUUUAGGUGCAAUCCUGCGGGGGUGAAGCGCAUGUGGCAGCAGCUGAAGAUGAAAUAUAAGAACAUUGUUCAAACAGCCAACAGAAAGAAAGGAGAUGCCUGUAAAAAGGGAGGUGGCCCAGCACCACCACCUGUAACGGAGGCAGAGGAGCUGGUCCUAAGCCAGAAUUUGGGAAGGUCAGUGGCUGAGGGAAUCCCUGGAGGGAGCUCAUCUUCUGAGACCACAUCCCAAGACAAAUUCUGAUGGUACUAUCUGCCUGGUGGAGCCCCUUCAAACCACAACAGACCUUGUAACUGAUGAAGAGGAUGAAACUGUGUCUGCUGCCUUUACAGAGGGGGAUCCAGAAAGGCAUCUAGAGAGCAUGGCUGGACAGCAGCAGGAUGCUUCCUCAACUUCCACUGCACAGAUUGACUCAGUGAGAUGGAUGUUCAGUAAACACCAGAGGUUGGGUCCGUGGAAUUCAUGUGCAACUGUGCAAUUUAAUGUCCUUUAUGUAUUCCCAGUUACCAGUAAAACAGAUUUACAAACUGCACUUGUUGAGAAAAAAACAGAUAAAGAAAUGCAGUACUUGGACCACCAGAUUAGGAGGGCAGAUCUGGAAAUUGAAAUACUGGAGCACAAGUUAGAGGUGGAUGCAGGUGACAGGUGAAUUGUUAACUACUGGAACAUGAACUGAACUAUCUCUUUUAUUUGUGGGAAAUAAAGAAGAC